rnacentral:lncRNA from 10 species
AUGCAGUCUUUCUCAGGUUUUUUGACUGGAAAACUGAAUCUCCUGUAUCAAACAGUAAAUGAUUUUGUUUUUAAAAUCUUUUAAUUAUCACUUUGGAUAAAUAAAUGACUAUUAUUUUAUGGUGAUCUGUGGUCCUAUUUUAGUGAAGUGUUUUAACCCUAUGACAUAUUUGACAGGCUUCCCAACAUCAAAUUUUGCUUUAAAAGUGUCUUUUUUUUACACCCCAAACUUUUGGAUGCUAUAGAGUGUCAAUGCAGCAUGCAAAAGAGUGAUAAACAGGCAGGGGGAGGCGGGCAGAUCACCAGGUCAAGAGAUGGAGACCAUCCUGGCCAACAUGAUGAAACCCUGUCUCUACUAAAAAUACAAAAAUUAACUGGGCAUGGUGGUGAGCGCCUGUAAUCUGAGCUACUCAGGAGGCUGAGGCUGGAGAAUGGAGAAUGGCUUGAACCUGGGAGGCAGAGGUUGCAGUGAGCCAAGAUCGCUCCAUUGCACUCCCACCUGGGCAACAAGAGCAAAACUUCGACUGAAAAAAAAAAAAGUUAACUUACAUGGAAGCAUUAUCAAAAUAAAAAUAAUGUUUGCCAGGCGUGGUAGCUUAUGCCUGUAAUCCCAGGACUUUGGGAGGCUGAGGCAGAUGGAUCACCUGAGGUCAGGAAUUCAAGACCAGCCUUGCCAACAUGGCAAAACCCUGUCUCUACUAAAAAUACAAAAAUUAAGCCAGACGUGGUGGUGGGUGCCUGUAAUCCCAGCAACUCAGGAGGCUGAGGCAGGAGAAUCGCUUGAAUCCAGGAGGCAGAGGUUCCAGUGAGCUGAGAUUGUGACAUUACUCUCUAGCCUGGGUGACAGAGCGAGAUUCUGUCUUAAAACUAUAUAUAUAUAUUUGACCUCCUUCGACUUAUAUUUUAAUAAAUAUGUUAUUAAUAUUUAUGUCAAAAUUGUAUGAAAUUUCUAAAACUCUAAUGUAUCUGAGUAUACGCUCUUAUUCAUAAUUAUGGUUAUUAUGAUAAAUUAUUGUAGGCAACAGAUAUAAUCAAUUUCUUUUAAUUUGUUUCUUUAUAACCAUGAAAGUCAUUUCCACAGUUAAUGGCUUAAUUCUGAUGUAGUUUCUAAAAACUUUAAAAGCAUGAAAAAUCCUAGAGUACUGUGUAUUCAAGGAGGUUCAUGAAAAGAUGGAAAAGGCCCAGAUGAGUUGAGCACAGAUUUCUGAUAACGUUAGAAUUAUAUUGUUUGAAUUAGGUAAAGAUUGUGAGAAUUUGGCCAGGCACGGUGGCUCAUGCCUGUAGUUCCAGCACCUUGCAUUUCUGUGGGAUCAGUCGUGAUAUCCCCUUUAUCAUUUUUUAUUUCAACUAUUUGAUUCUUCUCUCUUUUCUUCUUCAUUAGUCUGGCUAGCAGCCUAUCGAUUUUGUUGAUCUUUUCAAAAACACCAGUUCCUGGAUUCAUUGAUUUUUUGAAGGGUUUUUUGUGUCUCUAUUUCCUUCAGUUCUGCUCUGAUCUUAAUUAUUUCUUGUCUUCUGCUAGCUUUUGAAUUUGUUUGCUCUUGCUUCUCUAGUACUUUUAAUUUUGAGGUUAGGGUGUUGAUUUUACAUCUUUCCUGCUUUCUCUUGUGGGCAUUUAGUGCUAUAAAUUUCCCUCUACACACUGCUUUAAAUGUGUUCCAGAGAUUCUGGUACAUCGUGUCUUUGUUCUCAUUGGUUUCAAAGAACAUCUUUAUUUCUGCCUUCAUUUCGUUAUUUACCCAGUAGUCAUUUAGGAGCAGGUUGUUCAGUUUCCAUGUAGUUGAGCGCUUUUGAGUGAGUUUCUUAAUCCUGAGUUCUAAUUUGAUUGCACUGUGGUCUGAGAGACUGUUUGUUGUGAUUUCCAUUCUUUUGUAUUUGCUGAGGAGUGCUUUACUUCCAAUAAUGUGGUCAAUUUUAGAAUAAGUGCAAUGAGGUGCUGAGAAGAAUGUAUAUUCUGUUGAUUUAGGGUGGAGAGUUCUGUAGAUGUCUUUUAGGUCCACUUGGUCCAGAGCUGAGUUCAAGGCCUGAAUAUCCUUGUUAAUUUUCUGUCUCGUUGACCUGUCUAAUAUUGACAGCAGGGUGUUAAAGUCUCCCACUAUUAUUGUGUGGGAGUCUAAAUCUCUUUGUAGGUCUCUAAGAACUUGCUUUAUGAAUCUGGGUGCUCCUGUAUUGGGUGCAUUUAUAUUUGGGAUAGUUAGCUCUUCUUGAUGCAUCGAUCCCUUUACCAUUACGUAAUGGCCUUCUUUGUCUCUUUUGAUCUUUGGUGGUUUCAAGUCUGUUUUAUCAGAGAUUAGGAUUGCAACUCCUGCUUUUUUUUGCUUUCCAUUUGCUUGGUAAAUAUUCCUCCAUCCCUUUAUUUUGAGCCUACGUGUGUCUUUGCACGUGAGAUGGGCCUCCUGAAUACAGCACACUGAUGGGUCUUGACUCUUUAUCCAAUUUGCCAGUCUGUGUCUUUUAAUUGGCGCAUUUAGCCCAUUCACAUUUAAGGUUAAUAUUGUUAUAUGUGAAUUUGAUUCUGUCAUUAUGAUGCUAGCUGGUUAUUUUGCCCAUUAGUUGAUGCAGUUUCUUCAUAGUGUCGAUGGUCUUUACAAUUUGGUAUGUUUUUGCAGUGGCUGGUGCCUGUUGUUCCUUUCCAUAUUUAGUGCUUCCUUCAGGAGCUCUUGUAAGGCAGGCCUGGUGGUGACAAAAUCUCUUAGCCUUUGUUUGUCUGUAAAGGAUUUUCUUUCUCUUUCACUUAUGAAGCUUAGUUUGGCUGGAUAUGAAAUUCUGGGUUGAAAAUUCUUUUCUUUAAGAAUGUUGAAUAUUGACCCCCAUUCUCUUUUGGCUUGUAGGGUUUCUGCAGAGAGAUCCACUGUUAGUCUGAUGGGCUUCCCUGUGUGUGUAACCCGACCUUUCUCUCUGGCUGCCCUUAACAUUUUUUCCUUCAUUUCAACCUUGGUGAAUCUAACGAUUAUGCGUCUUCGGGUUGCUCUUCUCGAGGAGUAUCUUUGUGGUGUUUUCCGUAUUUCCUGAAUUUGAAUAUUGGCCUAUUUUGCUAGGUUGAGGAAGUUCUGGAUAAUCUCCUGAAAACUGUUUUCCGACUUGGUUCCAUUCUUCCCGUUGCUUUCAGGUACACCAGUCAAAUGUAGAUUUGGUGUUUUCACAUAGUCCCAUAUUUCUUAGAGGCUUUGUUCAUUCCUUUUUUUAUUCUUUUUUCUCUAAUCUUGUCUACUUGCUCUAUUUCAGUAAGUUGAUCUUCAAUCUCUGAUAUCCUUUCUUCUGAUUGAUUGAUUCGGCUAUUGAUACUUGCGUAAGCUUCAUGAAGUUCUUGUGCUGUGUUUUUCAGCUCCAUCAGGUCAUUUAUGUUCUCUAAACUGGUUAUUCUAGUUAGCAAAUUGGCUAACCUUUUUUCAAGGUUCUUAGCUUCCUUCCAUUGGGUUAGAACAUGCUCCUUUAGCUCAAAGGAGUUUGUUAUUACCCACUUUUUGAAGCCUACUUCUGUCAAUUCAUCAAACUCAUUCUCUGUCCAGUUUUGUUCCCUUGCUGGCGAGGAGUUGUGAUCCUUUGGAGGAGAAGAGGCGUUACAGUUUUUGGAAUUUUCAGUCUUUUUACGCUAGUUUCUCCCCAUCUUUGUGGAUUUAUCUACCUUUGGUCUUUGAUGUUGGUGACCUUCGGAUGGGGUCUCUGUGUGGACGUGCUAGUCCUUUCUGUUUGUUAGUUUUCCUUCUAACAGUCAGGCCCCUCUGCUGCAGGUCUGCUGGAGUUUGCUGGAGGGUCCACUCCAGACCCUGUUUGCCUGUGUAUCACUAGAGGAGGCUACAGAACAGCAAAGAUUGCUGCCUGUUCUUUCCUCUGGAAGCACCCAGAGGGGCAACUGCCAGAUGCCAGCCAGAGCUCUCCUGUAUGAGGUGUCUGUCAGCCCCUACUGGGAGGUGUCUCCCAGUCAGGAUACAUGGGGGUCAGGGACCCACAUAAGGAGGCAGUCUGACCCUUAGCAGAGCUCAAACGCUGAGCUGGGAGGUCCUCUGCACCCUUCAAAGCCGUCAGGCAGGGAUGUUUAAGUCUGCUGAAGCUGCGCUAAAAUUUUUUAGUAUGCCAUUUGAAUAAACUCUGCGGUCCAAGUCAAAUCACCUAUAAGAACCCCUCAUUUAUUUGUCCUAUGCACCUAAUUUGGAGACACAAACUUCGUACUUAAGAGGACAUAAAUUUAAUGUUCAGUGUGGACCCAUGAAGAACCUAGACAGCCAACAGCCAGUUGUUCAUUCCUGAGUUCUUAAAGCUUCUAUUAUUAAAAAGCUGUGCAUUCCAUUAUCAUUAUAGAAGAGAUAAAAUGAUCUACAUAAAAUAUAAAUUAGGCUGGGUGCGGUGGCUUACGCCUGUAUUCCCAGUACUUUGGGAGGCUGAGGUAGGUGGAUCACGUGGUCAAAAGAUCAAGACCAUCCUGGCCAACAUGGUGAAACCCCAUCUCUACUAAAAAUACAAAAUUAGCCGGGUAUAGUGGCACACGUCUGUAAUCCCAGCUAUUCAGGAGGCUGAGGCAGAAGAAUCACUUGAACCCGGGAGGUGGAGGUUGCAGUGAGCCAAGAUCACACCAUUGCACUCCAGCCUGGGCAACAAGAGCGAAACUCCAUCUCAAAAAAAAAAAAAAAGAAAGAAAAAGAAAAGAAAAUAGUCACAUCAUCUACAUGUUGAGGCCACACAUAUGUAUAUGUAUUGAUAUGUAUCAAUAACCCUUGUGGGCAGGGACCAGACAGAAGAACCACAUCACCUGUGUGCUGGGCUCUGUGAUAAGUCACCCUUUAUCUGUGGGUAUGGCCCAGGUAGAAAAGGCAAGCCAAAUCACCUGGUGCAGGGCCCAGAGAUAUGUCACAAUGUCUUCUAUAGGCAAAGGCCAGGGAACAGAGGAGAGUCACAUCAAAUAGUUGAUGGACCCAGAGAUAUGUCACAAUGUCCCUGUAAUCAGGGUCUAGGUAAGAGACUCAAAUCACCUUUGUUCUGGGCCCAGCAAUAUGUCACAAUGCUUUCUCCAUAGCUGUCAUACAAAGAGGAGACCCAGGCUCUUACCUAAUUCACUAAGCCUAGCUAUGACAGUAUCUCUUACAUUGGCUGGCUUGUAGGAAGAGGAUCGUCAGCUCUCCUGUGAGCUGGACCAAGAUAUAUGUCAUAAUCCAGUAGAGAGCAAGCAUGAGAGUCACAUCACCUGGGUGCUGGGCAAGUGAUAUGUUACAGUCUUCCCUGAGGACAGGGACCAGGCAGGAGAGUCACAUUAGCAGGAGAGUCACAUUACCUGGGUGCUCAGGGAGGGAUCUUAUUUGACAAUCCCCUCCUGAAAGCAAGGCACAGAAUGCAUAGUCACAUCACAUGGGUUCUGGGCCCAGUAAUAUCUUACGAUGCUCAGUAUGAGCAACACCCUCUCAGGAGAGGCAGAUUACCUUAAUGGUGGACCCAGCAAUAUGUCACAAUCUUCUUUGUGGGCAGGAUGCAGGAAGAACAAAAGUCACAUCUUCUAGGUGAUGGAUGCAGGGAGAUGUAAACAGUCCCUCUGUGGAAAGGGCCAAGGCAGAAGCCUCCAAUUCUAUAAAUGUAGGGCCCAGUGAUUUGUCACAAUACCUAACAUAUGCAAAGCCCAGGCAAAUAGGAGAGUUAUAUCACUUAGCUCCUGGGUCAAGUAAUAUGUCCCAAUCCUCCCUUUUGACAUGGCCCAGGCAGCAGAAGAAAGUGACAUCACCUAGGUGCUGGGUUCAGCAAUCCAUCACAAUUUUCUCAUGAGCAGAGCCCAAGCAGUAGAGAAGAGUCACAUCACCUAUUUGCUGGGCCCAGAGAUAUUUCAUAGUCUCUUCUGUGAGCAAAGUCCAUGUAAGAGAAGAGAGUUACAUCAAUAGCUGAUGGGCCCAAAGAUAUGUCACAAUGCCCCAUGUUGGCAGAGUCUACUAAGAAGACACAUCGUUUUGAUGCUGAGCUAAGAAAUAUGUCACAAUGUCUUCAAGGGUG